GACGAACGCUGGCGGCGUGCCUAACACAUGCAAGUCGAGCGAGUGAAUCUCCUUCGGGAGUGAAGCUAGCGGCGGACGGGUGAGUAACACGUGGGCAACCUGCCUCAUAGAGGGGAAUAGCCUUUCGAAAGGAAGAUUAAUACCGCAUAAGAUUGUAGCUUCGCAUGAAGUAGCAAUUAAAGGAGCAAUCCGCUAUGAGAUGGGCCCGCGGCGCAUUAGCUAGUUGGUGAGAUAACGGCUCACCAAGGCGACGAUGCGUAGCCGACCUGAGAGGGUGAUCGGCCACAUUGGGACUGAGACACGGCCCAGACUCCUACGGGAGGCAGCAGUGGGGAAUAUUGCACAAUGGGGAAACCCUGAUGCAGCAACGCCGCGUGAGUGAUGACGGCCUUCGGGUUGUAAAGCUCUGUCUUCAGAGACGAUAAUGACGGUACCUGAGGAGGAAGCCACGGCUAACUACGUGCCAGCCGCCGCCGUAA
rnacentral:rRNA from 1 species